GAUGAACGCUGGCGGCGUGCCUAAUACAUGCAAGUCGAGCGAACGGACGAGAAGCUUGCCUCUCUGAUGUUAGCGGCGGACGGGUGAGUAACACGUGGAUAACCUACCUAUAAGACUGGGAUAACUUCGGGAAACCGGAGCUAAUACCGGAUAAUAUUUUGAACCGCAUGGUUCAAAAGUGAAAGACGGUCUUGCUGUCACUUAUAGAUGGAGCCGCGCUGCAUUAGCUAGUUGGUAAGGUAACGGCUUACCAAGGCAACGAUGCAUAGCCGACCUGAGAGGGUGAUCGGCCGCGCUGGAACUGAGACACGGUCCCGGCGCCUGCGGAAGGCCGCAGUCGGGACUCUUCCGCAAUGGGCGAAGGCCUGACGGAGCCACGCCGCGUGAGUGAUGAAGGUCUGCGUGUCGUAAAACUCUGUUAUUAGGGAAGAACAUAUGUGUAAGUACCUGUGCACAUCUUGCCGGUACCUAAUCAGAAAGCCCCGGCUAACUCCGU
rnacentral:rRNA from 1 species